rnacentral:rRNA from 1 species
AACGAACGCUGGCGGCAUGCCUAACACAUGCAAGUCGAACGAGACCUUCGGGUCUAGUGGCGCACGGGUGCGUAACGCGUGGGAACCUGCCCUUAGGUUCGGAAUAACUCCCCGAAAGGGGUGCUAAUACCGGAUAAUGUCUUCGGACCAAAGAUUUAUCGCCUUUGGAUGGGCCCGCGUUGGAUUAGCUAGUUGGUAGGGUAAAAGCCUACCAAGGCGACGAUCCAUAGCUGGUCUGAGAGGAUGAUCAGCCACACUGGGACUGAGACACGGCCCAGACUCGGACGGGAAGCAGCAGUGGGGAAUAUUGGACAAUGGGCGAAAGCCUGAUCCAGCAAUGCCGCGUGAGUGAUGAAGGCCUUAGGGUUGUAAAGCUCUUUUACCCGGGAUGAUAAUGACAGUACCGGGAGAAUAAGCUCCGGCUAACUCCGUG